rnacentral:lncRNA from 15 species
AGCUAAUUGUGCGCGAGAUAUGUUGGCCAUUUUCUGAACGAGGGCCCACAGCUCCGGGUGUGCACGCAGUUUGACUGAAGUUUGUGCCAUUAUUCAUUCACCUGAUGAAGACCAGUCCUGCUGUAGAUUACCAUUCUAUAAUGAGAGGUCUGGUGACUUGAUGGAGAGAGCAGCAGUCUACAAACUACGAGGUCCUGGGUUCAAAACCCAAUGCUUCUAUUGGGUGCCAGUCAGCAGUGGUUGUUAACAUAGGAUGGUGGACCAGUGAAGGCAAUGCUCAUGAUGAAAAGGUGCCAUUAUUCAUUUACUUGAUGGAGACCAGUCCUGCUGUAGAUUACCAUUCUAUAAUGAGAGGUCUGGUGACUUGAUGGAAAGAGCAGCAGUCUACAAACCAUGAGGUCCUGGGUUCAAAACCAAGGUGCCAUGCUUCUAUUGUGUGCCAGUCAGCAGUGGUCCUUGAUAUUGGAUGGGUGGACCAGUGAUGGCAAUGCUCAGGGUUGAAAGGUGCCAUUCUUUAUGUACUUGAAGAAGACAAGUCCUGCUGUUGAGUGCCAUUCUAUAAUGAGAGGUCUGGUGACUUGAUGGAAAGAGCAGCACUCUACAAACUACGAGGUCCUGGGUUCAAAACCAAGGUGUCAUGCUUCAAUUGUGUGUUUCCUAGGUCAGUCAGCAGCAGUCGUGAACAUCGGAUGAAGGUCCCAAUGCUCAGGAUUGAAGGUUAUAAAUAGCCAAGAUCUUCAUCUAUUGAUGUGGAAUCCUGUCCUGUCCUGUCCUGUCCUGUCUUGUCUUGUAGAUUCAGAAUUGAGAGUUGGUAAGAAGUCAACUUGGUCGAUGAAGUCUACGGAACUUGCUGGGAAAAAAAGCUAUCUCAACAUCUCUCUUUGUUUGAUGGAAACCUGUCUUUGGGCAGAUUCAACCAUGAGUGGAUGUGCUGACUCUGUAGUUAGAGCAGUGGUCUGGAAAUUAGGAGAUCCUGGUUUCAAACCAAGUCAGUGUGCCUCUGUCUUGAAGAUCAGAAAAGACUCUGGCAGUGUUUGAAUCAGCAGAGAAGACGAACAGCCCAACAGAAGACGUGUACAAGAAAUGGGUGAGUUGUUCAGAAAACGUGUGUGUUGACAUCGAGUUCUAGGCCAAGCCACUUAGUUCCAUAUAUGAACAAAUAAACCCAACCACAAAAUCAACGUUAACCCAACCCAUUCAUGGGGAUUCAGGAUAGUGCAACUAUUUGUGCGGUCUACAGUAUACAGUGUAUUUCUAGUCUGGUGUGAGGGACGUACUAGAGUUGGGUUUACCAUCUGGUGUAUGGAAGGAAUUAAGAAUUUGGCUUAUGUUGAGCAUUGACCGCAAAGCAAGCAAAGCACAUUGUACAACCUCUCUUUAGGAUAUCGUCAUGGAAACCACUUGUAUGUCAAGCAGUGGCACAGAUGUUAAAGUUAUACAUGCACUUUAUUAGUCGAGACUCUUGAUGAUGAUUUCUAUCUUUUUUCCCCAGCUUAUCGAUAUAUGCUGAUAACCAUGUGAAAUUAAGCCAGUACAAAUCUGAAUUAGACCUCGACUAAAAGCAUGUCAUACUUAAUGUAGGGUACUGUUAAUCAAGAUCACCAUUUGAUUUGAUUCAAU